ACGCUCGACACCUACGGGAGGCAGCAGUGGGGAAUAUUGCACAAUGGGGGAAACCCGUGAUGCAGCGACGCCGCGUGAGCGAAGAAGUAUUUCGGUAUGUAAAGCUCUAUCAGCAGGAAAGAAGAAAGACGGUACCUGACUAAGAAGCCCCGGCUAACUACGUGCCCGCAGCCGCGGUAAUCUGAGCGGGCUGGCAAGGC
rnacentral:rRNA from 1 species